ACAAUACAAAACAAACAAAACAAAACAAAAACAAAAACAAAAACAAAAACAAAAACCCAAAAAAAAUCUAUUUUUAUUUCCUUUUUAUCUGCAGGGAUUCCGACUUGAGGUUUAUAGUGCUUCUUCUUCUGAAUUAUUCAGGCAUGGGCAAGCAUAUGGGGAGUAAAAUGUGAACACUAUUGGAUCCGACAUCCCCAGCACCUCUAAUCCCAAACAAGAAAUAGUACGUGUGUGACUUUUAAUUUGAGCAGUGAUGAUGUGAAUUUCUUUCUAAAAGUUUAUGUACGUGUUAAGCUGGCUGCCUGGCUGGAUGGUGUAGUAGUUUUCAUUGGGAUUUUGCUUAGUGACCAAACUGUAUGUUGUUACUUUGUUAAUUUUUUAUUGAUAUGGAUGCGCACAAAAAAAAAACAAAAACAAAAACAAAAUAAAUAAAUAAAACAAAACAAAACCAAAACAAAAACAAAAAAAAAAGCUAUCUAUUUUUAUAUCCUUCUUAUCUGCAACGAUUCCAACUUGAAGUCAGUCGAAUUGUUUAUAUUUUCUCCUUUCAA